UAUUUUUCAAGUCCUUAUUUAGCAAAUUCAUAAUGGAGGUAGAGAUAAAUUGCCCAAUCCGUAAUGCUUUUUGGGAUUGGGCCUAUAAGUAACAUUUGAUAAACAUAGAACAUAGGAAGGUUAAGGCUUUUUACUUGCAUUUAUUGAUAGAAGUUUUUUUCUGCUGCUUGUGAUCACUGAAAGCGUUGAUCUUGGCCUGGAUGUGGUGCGCCUUGUUCUCCAGCGUUUCAAUGUUGGCAUUGCAGUCCCAUAUCUUCUUAGCAGGGCCCAGAGCCAAGCCACACAAGGCGCUUGCCAAGACGCUUGUCAAGGAGCCCACAACCUCCAUGGCUGUAGACCUACAAGUAAAGGUUGUCUCCCUCCCAGAAAGAAGCACAAUAUUAACUCUUGACCUUGUAGAUCGGAAUUCUUCACUUUUUUCACAGCUGUGACUCACUCACUCUAAGAGAUUCACAGUGAGCACCGCAACGAUCGCUACAUCGCUCGCAAGAAACACCUCUAUUUGUACAAACAGACAAACGUGGAGCACGUAAAGUACUUGUGUCUUUGGCCUAAAACGGGCAUCUUAAACGCCAUAGCCAGAAAAUGGACGGCGGAGAUCUUUUGAGCAAGAACCCUAAGCCCCAAUUUCUCUUGGCGAGGCGGCGAGAGAGCGAUGGCGCAGAGAGAUGCGACACGCCCGAGAAGAACAUCGUCUUUUCUCUUGUACGGCGUUGAUCCAGGCGAACGGGAAUAGAGGGCUCCUCUGCCGAUCUUUGAUGGGAUCCGGGCGAUCUUGUCACCGACGUCUUGAAAGAUCUUAGAUUCUAUCCGCAAUCGCCCAGUCAAUGCGAUCCUGGCGAUGGGUGCUCCAUAUCAUUCUAUUCCCGCCCGGACGUGAUCUCCAGGAUUUGCGAAGAAGAAGCUCGUCGAUCAGAUGCGCGAUGCUGGCGCGCAAUUGAUUGGGGCUUCCCGCUACAUUUUCCCGCGCUAUCGUCUCUACUUCUCCAUUCUAGGGUUCUUUCUUGGAGGCGACGUAGGUUUUCUAUUGCCCGCGUGGUCGAGGAGACGGCGCUGGGGGGCGGCCUUGAUCGGCGUUCUGGAGCUACACAGGUAAUGGGGCUCGAAAUAGGAAGAGGCUCCAGCUUAAGGCUCCGACGAGCAGUGCCAAGGCGAGGAGCCCCAGCCAGCGUUACGGUGACAACAAAGGCCCCUGGGGCAAAAUGUUCCAUCGGCAGUGGAUCGCCAAAAACUCCUGCAAAAGCUGAGGCUUCUAGGACAGCAAAAAUUGCCGAGGUGAGCAAUGAUAGUGGAGCAGAGGAUUUAUAUGAUUCGGGAGUAGAAAGUGGAGCAAUCGAUGGUGGGGAAGAAGAGGUAAACAAGAUUAUGACUGGAGGAGGAAACGAUGCCGAGGUGGAAAGAACAACAGUGGUGGAGAGCUCCAUUGAGACUGUCAGGAAACAUGGCGAGGCUGUUUCUAGCGCCUUAGCUGGACUUUCAAUCAGAGGUAGUGCCUUGACCCACGGUAAUCCCGUUAAGAUGAAAGCUGGUUGUGGUUCCGUGAAAGCUGAAGCUUCGGUUUCGAUCGCAGCUGGAUGUGAUCCUAUGAAAGUAGAUGGAUUGGUGAAAAUGGAAGCUGGUUUUGAGUCUGCAAGAGUCGAAGCUCUGGUUGGCUCGGUGAAGAUGGACCCUCGUUAUGAUACUGUGAAACUUGAAACUCCAUUCGGGGGUUGUUUUAGAUGUUGAGAGGUGGUGGCUUCUCCAAGAGACUGAAGUUGCCGGGUACUCGACGUCCAGGGGAUGCCGGAUUCGUGUUGGCGAGUUCAUUUCCUUCAGUUUUCCCAAGCCUGAAGCCGAAAGUAAGAAGAAUUUCUUUGAGCACAAGAAGGUUCGGCCGAAAGUGAGCUCCGAUAUUGUAAGGUUCUUGACAAAAGCUUCAGGAGAGAUAGAACGGCUUCCAGCCGACUGCGCCAAGUGUUUGAUACCUUUGGGAAGUGCAAAAUGGCACCAGAGGCUCUUUCUCUUAUGAGCAGCAUAGUUCUCCAUUUGAGAGUUUAUAUCAACAAGUCAGAAGCCUUACGAGGAGGGGGUUGAGCGCGGAUUGAAGCUUCUGCAAGCUAUCUUGAAGCCGGUAAUGCUUCGAAGAACAAAAGAUUCAACUGAUAAAGAAGGAAGGUAAAAUUCGAUCAGUUCGUUGAACAAGGUAAAGUUCUCCAUAACUAUGCCUCGAUCCUCGAACUGCUACUUCGAUUACGGCAAAGCUUGUGAUCAUCCUUUUCUUGUUCUGAGCCGUGGCGAUACUGAAGACUUUGCGGACCUGGGAAAGCUGGCUAGACGUUUCUUGGACAAGAAUUCCUCCCAGGUGCCUUCGACGGCGUAUGUCAAAGAGGUGGUGGAUGAUAUUCGUAAAGGAGAAAGUGCUGAGUGCCCAAUUUGUUUGGAGAUGCACGCAGUUCUUACACCAUGCGCUCAUCGAAUGUGCCGUGAGUGCCUAUUGAAUAGCUGGCGUACUAGCGCCGGAGGUCCCUGUCCAAUAUCCGAGGCGUUCCUGUACGAAAUAGGAACUCAUAACUGUACCAAGAAGUAAUCCAAAGUCGUCCAAAGUCGAGGCUCUGCUGCACCACCUCCAGACGUUAAGUGAGGCCGGGUCGAAAAGCGUUGAUUUUAGUCAGUGGACAGCGUUUCUCGACUUGUUAGAGAUACCAUUGAAAAGGAAGAACUUCUGUUUCGUCCGCUUGGACGGAACACUAUCGCAGCGUCAGCGAGAACAAGUGCUCAAAAACUUGAGCAAUAUUCCAGCCGUGGCCGUCAUGCUCAUGCCUUUCUCAUGGUACGCGCUAUAGUUUUCUUUUUUAGCCAUCUUCCGAGUCGAGAAUGUGGACGAUCGAGCAUCGGUCAGACGAAGAACGUAUCGAUCAAGCGAUUCAUCGUCAAACAGGAUCGAAGCGAGGAAGCAGCGAUUGAUCGCGGGGGCUCUCACAGACGAAGAGGUGCGAAGCGCUCGAAUCGAGGUGCUCAAAAUGCUAUUUAGAUGAGAAGAACUGGAUUUUUUUAACUUAUAUCAGUGUACAUAGUUAAAGAGGGGAAUAUGCUUCUAGCAUCGGCGCGUAUAUUCUUCGGAUAGUUCAAUGUGUCAUGGAUGUAGGAGCUUUGGGUACAAGCAUUUCUAGGUUUCUUCGCGGCUAUGGCGGACAGCGAAGGAGCAGGCGAUCGCGUCGCAAGCGGCGACGAGCAAGGCGAUCGCGUCGAUUCCUCUGGUCUCCGCGGCCGGGGCGGCUAGAAAGCCGGGGCGCAUUCUAGAGUUUCGGGGUUUCUGGGGCGAUCAGUCAUGUAGCGGGUAGAGCCGUUGGUGCGGCUUUUGAGGAGUCCAAACAGAGGCUCCAUAAUCUAGAUGCUUUGGAAGGAGAAGGCGUGACGACCUCUCUAGAUCUUGAGGAGCUACAAAUUGACGGUCACCGUCGUGAGGGUAAAGCUCCACAGUUUUACAAGCCGAAGGAGAACCGUUUCAGGACCUCUGAAGAACUAAAGGUAUGCAUAUGCAUAUUCUUAAUAUUGUUAUGUUUUCCAUGUUUUACCAUUUACUCUAUACACCAGAUUUUAAAAUACUCAAAACCACGAGAGUAAAGUAAUAUCCUGAGAAUACGAUUUGUAAGAAAAACAGAAACUGUGUCUUCUCCAAACGCUGCUGACGGCUUGGAAA